rnacentral:rRNA from 1 species
UACGGGGGGGGCAAGCGUUGUUCGGAAUUACUGGGCGUAAAGGGCUCGUAGGUGGCCAACUAAGUCAGACGUGAAAUCCCCAGGCUCAACUUGGGAACUGCGUCUGAUACUGGAUGGCUUGAAUUCGGGAGAGGGAUGCAGAAUUCCAGGUGUAGCGGUGAAAUGCGUAGAUAUCUGGAGGAAUACCGGUGGCGAAGGCGGCAUCCUGGACCGAGAUUGACGCUGAGGCGCGAAAGCUAGGGGAGCAAACGGG